rnacentral:sRNA from 12 species
AGGGCCGGUCGAAAGACCCAGGUCGAUUUGACGGCGGGGAAGUUCCUC